rnacentral:lncRNA from 1 species
CGGUGUGUUGUGGACUCGUGGUGCUGGCUGCCGCUGUCGAGGCUGCCUGGAACGGGCUGUGGGGAGCGGGCGGAGCUGGCCCUGCUUCUGCCUGGCCAGCGCCGCAGGCGGCGCGGGCCGUGUCCGCUGCCGUCAACUUCCCGGAGCGCCUGCUGAGGCCGAGGGAGACGCCGGGGCCUGCACCUGGAGAGAGCCUGCCGUGCUGGCCCGGAGGAGGGGGCGUUGCCAUGGCGACAGCCUCUCCGGCAGCUGACGGGGGGCGGGGGCGGCCUUGGGAAGGAGGGCUGGUCUCCUGGCCCCCUGCCCCUCCCCUUACGCUCCCCUGGACCUGGAUGGGCCCGAGCUGGGGGCAACACCCUGGGGUGGGUGAGAUCGAGAGGGCCCCCAGCUUGGGCCUUGGUUGAUGCAUGCGGGGUGUGGGUCGUGGCGU